rnacentral:rRNA from 1 species
UACGUAGGGUGCAAGCGUUGUCCGGAAUUAUUGGGCGUAAAGAGCUCGUAGGCGGCUUGUCACGUCGGCUGUGAAAACCUGGGGCUCAACCCCGGGCCUGCAGCCGAUACGGGCAAGCUAGAAUUCGGUAGGGGAGACUGGAAUUCCUGGUGUAGCGGUGAAAUGCGCAGAUAUCAGGAGGAACACCGGUGGCGAAGGCGGGUCUCUGGGCCAAAACUGACGCUGGGGAGCGAAAGCGUGGGGAGCGAACAGG